rnacentral:tRNA from 1 species
AUGUGGCUCAGUGGUAAAGCACUUGCUUAGUAUGCAUGAGGCCCUGGGUUUGAUCCCUAACAU